rnacentral:lncRNA from 1 species
CCCGAGUGCUGCAGUAGUUACCCUCCACGCGCCACCCCUGAAGGGCAAGGUCGGUGCCACUGCCCGUCCCAGCUGAAGUCACCAAGCGCCGCUCGCUUGCUUGCAAGAAGACUAACCCGUGGGAAAACACCUCCUUUCUAUCUUUUCUAAACUGAAGCCUGGUGGUUAAAGAGCUAUUGUACAUAUAUAAAUGUUACACCAUAUUUUGAAGGGUGGCAGGAUGGAGGAUGAAAAGAUGAUCUCUGAUGAUCUCUGUUAUCAGCUAACAAUGAAAGCUGCUUCAGUGAGUCACAUGGGCUUUCCUACCGAGUACUGUCAGAUCUAAAAUAAUGAUGAAAUGUGAACACAAAAUCUCCACUGAGAAAAGUUGAGAUGCUGCAUUGUAUUAUGAAGUAAGUCUUCAUUUCCCACAUUUUUAUAUUUAUGCAGUAUUUUCCCAAGAGAAAAAUUCUUAGCUAUUUUAAACUUUAGAAAGGUCUAUCUAUAUAGAUCCUAGAAUCUUCUAUAACACCUCUUAUGGCUCUUGCGUAAACACAUAGUGUUCAUCAGGCUGAUAAUC